UUUUCUAUAACCUAAAUUAUAUAUAUAUAAAGUUCUGGAAUAUAAUAAUAUGUGUGAAAAUGUAUAAAAUUGAAGAUUUUAACGAUUAAUCAUUGAUUUUUUAAAAUUUUAUUUAAAUUCGAUUGCCAAUCAAACUGUGAAGUAUAGUUAAUGUUCAUUUCAGAACAAUAUUAAAUAUUCCUUUCAUCGAACCAUCUUAUUAUAGAUUACUUCACGGGUAAAAUGUGCGUCCAAGGCUGUCUCAUUAUAUGUUAGUAGUGAUGUGGAACUGCAAUAGUAAAAUUAUGACGAAAAUGAAUUUGUUUAUUAAAAUAUUAUUUUUAGUUAUUGCAAUAAUAUUUAGUGCAAUAUCACAAUGUUCCUCAGUUUUAUCAGACAAACGACUAUGCUAUGAUCCUAAUUGUUCCGAACCUAUUUCAUUAGCUAGAACAACAAUUAAAUAUAUUCCAAAUGAAUUGGGAUUAUUAUCGUUUAAUGUUAAUGAAAAAGUCACAGUUUAUAGUAAAGAAGCAGGCAAGAGAAAAGAUUUGUGGGGUGUAGAGAUAAAUGGCAAACAUGGAUAUGUAUCAAAGUCAUUUAUAAAAGAAUAUAAAGUUUUACAUAAGGAUUUACAAUAUGAAGUGUCUAUUGAUCCAUUAUUUAAUAAUAAUGUUUCAUCUAAUAAUAAACUUCAGCCUAAUCAAAGAAAAAAUAAAUCAGUAUUUGAUAAAAAGGAUACUAAACAAAUUGACAAUUUAGAUUUGAAAUCCACAAAAGAACUGCCACAGAAUGAAAUUGGUGUAACUCCAUCUUAUCAGAUUAUUGAUGGAACUACAGUUCACUUAAAUCAUAAUGAACCUUCUAUAGAACCAACUCUUAUAAAAGAUAUCAUACAAGCAACAGUAGUGCCAAAUAAACAAAGUGCUAUUGAUGAAACAUUAAUGAGCACAAAAGAUAAAUUAGAAAGUAAGGAAAAAAUUGUUGAAGUUGAUAUUAAAGAUUUUGUGAUAAGUUCAGAAAAAAUAUUAGAUUUACCUGAUCUAAUUCACAGUUCACCAUUAAAUAUAAGUGCAAUUUCUGAUAAAAUAGAAUAUGCAACAGAGAAUGAAAAUGAGUUAUUUACUGAUGAAAAAGAUCAAUCAUUAAAAAAAAAUGAUGAUACUAAUGAUUUACAAAUAUCUAUAUCUGAUAUUUCUAAAGAAACAUUAAAUAUUAAAGGUGAAGAAAUAGUUGAAUUAAUUAAAAAAGAUAAUAUCAAUUCCAAUGAAGUAAUUGAAAAUAUUGAUACCAAACUACAUAUACAAAAUAUAGAAAAUACUGAUCAAAUUAAAGAACCAGAUAUUUUAUCAUCAGCCAAUCAUAUAAAAACAGAUUUACAAGAUGCAAAAAAUUCUAAUGAAAUUGAUGUAAAAGAUAAUCAAGCCUUAGAAAAUAUUAUAAAUGAAACUAAAUUAGAAGUACAGAAUACAGAAAUAAAAAAUAUUCAAGUUUCACAAGAUGAUACAAUUGCAACUAGUGACAUUAAGGUAGAUAUACAAAAUAUAGAAAAUUCUUAUAAAAUUGAAAUAAAAGAUCUUCAGUCUCCAGAAAGUAUUAUGGCAACAUCUAAUGAUAUUACAUCAAAUAUACAAAGUAUAGAAAAAUCUAAUGAAUUUGAAAUUAAAGAUAUCCAGUUUUUACAAAAUGUUACAAUAAAUACGAUCAGUGAUAUUAAAUCAGAUGUACAAAAUGCAGAAAGUUCUCCUGAAAUUGAGACAAAAGAUAUUCAGUCUUCAGAAAAUGUUAUAAUUACAACUAAUGAAAUUAAAUCAAAUAUAUCAAAUAUAGAAAAUUCUGAUGGAAUUGAAAUAAAUAAUAAUACAUUAUUAGAAGAUAUCACAAUUAAUACAAAAAAUAUGCAAUAUUUUGAAAAUGUCAUUCAAUCAAAUACAGAUCAAAAUAAUAUAAAAAAGGAAGAAGAAAAUACAAGUAUUGAAAAUUUAAAUAAAUAUGAUAAUGAUCAAGAUUUAUCAUCAUUAUUCUUUACUCAAAAUAUAAAAGAUAAAAUGUCAAUAAUACCAUCUGCUGAGAAUAUUGAAACAGAAAAUAUUGAACAUAAAGAAGCAAUAUCAAAAAUUGAAUCUAAUUCAAAAAAAAUUGUAGUUGAUAUUGAAGAUACUAUGCUAGUAAAAGAAACAAGUUCAAAUAAAUAUGAUUUAAAAAAUGAGGAUAUUUUAUCUGUAACUAAAAAAACAUCUGAAAAUAUUUUUCAUGAAAUAGAAGUUACACCUCCUAAUGUUUGUAUAGCUGAUAAUGUUGAAUGUUCUUCAGAAGAUGUUCAAAAAUAUUAUUCAUAUCAUGAACAAACUUCUCAAAAUGGAGAAAAUGCUAUAAUAAGUGAAAUACAGAUUGAAAGCAAUCAUUGGUUAACACUAAUGUAUUUAAGUGUCACUGCUAUUGCAACACUUAUAUUUUCCUUAGGGUACUAUUGCAUUGAGAAUAUGAGGAGUGAUAAACGACUGAUAGCUAGAAUCAACAAACUUGAAAAAGAUUUACUUAUUUCAGAAGCAGAAUGUACAAUGGUGAAUGAAAAUCUAAAAUCAACAAAAGAAAAGUUAAGCCGUAUGGAAGAUGAAUCAUUUGGAUCUGAUGAAAUGGUAAUUUCUUUAAGAGCUGAUUUAAAAAUUUCACAGAAUGCAAAAGCAGAAUUAGAAGAUCAAGUAGCUAUGUUAGAGAAAGACCUAGAAAGUGCUACUGAAGCUGGAUUAGAAUUAGAAAAAAUGUUGCGAGAAGUUCUUUCAUCGAAUAAUGAAGUUAAUCCUUUAGCUCAAUCAGUAGAAGACUUACAAACCAGAUUGAAUGCUCAACAAGCUGCAAACGAAUCUUUAACGAAUGCUUUAAAUCUUAAAACUCAAGAGAACGAAUCUUUAUCAACAGAGCUUGCAUUUAUUAAAAAAAAAUAUGAAGAAUUUGAAGUUGAAUUUACUAGAGUUACGGAAAAUUUAAAAUUGGAAAUCAACAGUAAAAACAAUGCCGAACAAACGUUGAUCGAUAAGGUGCAACAAUUAGAAAUGCGACUCAAAGAAAUUUCUAUUGAAAAAGCAACUUUAGAAAAAGAAUUGAAAGGUAAAGAAGUAGAAAUAAAAGAUCUCGUAGAUGUUAUUAAUCGAUUGAAUUCUAAUAACUUGGAUUUAGACAAGUUAUAUGAUGUAUCACAUAUUAAAGCAGAGGCAAAAACAUUGUUUGAAGAAAGAAAUGAAUUAAAAAUACGAUUAGCUGAGAUUGAAGGAGUUCAUAAUUUAUUAGAAGAACAUGUAAAGGUCGUUAAAGAAGAAAUGGCAACUUUGACUGAACAAUGCAAAAUAGCAGAAAAAGAAAAGAAAGAUGCAGAAACACGACUUGAAGUAUUGACAAAUUUUUUCGAAGAAAAAGAGGCACAACGGCAAAAAGAAGAAGCUAUUUGGUUGCAACAACAGGGUGAAGUUGUAUCCACUGUAGAACGAAUACAAACAAUGCAAAAUGAAAUACAAAAUUAUAAACAACAAGUAGAAGUAUUGAAACGUGAAAUAUUAGAUCAAGAAAGAGAAUAUAAAAAUCAAAUUUCUUUGCUUGAAACAAAGGCACAUGAACAAUGGGUUGUAGCCCGUCAAGUUGAACGUCGUUUAGAAGAAUCUAAAGUUGAAGCAGGACAAUUACGUAAUCGUCUUACUUUAAUAGAAAAGAAUAUAAAUGAUGUAGAUCCUGAAGUAAAAUUGCAUCGACUGGAGGCAAAUGGAGAGAUGACAACGUCACCUCCAUUAUAUCUAGGAGCAGAAUCAUCCAGUUCUCCUAUAAUGUUUUCUGGUUCUUCGGGUGUUCCGCCACCGCCACCACCUUCUUAUUUACAUUCACUAUUUCCACCAUAUUUACCACCUCCAUUGCCAAAUGCAUCCGGUGUACCACCAUACGAAGUUAGCCAACGACCACCACCAUUGGGUGGUCGUUUAUCUUCACCUCCACCUAUGCCUUUACAUCCUCCUACUUCCAAUAGGUAUGAUAAUGCUGGUUCCCCACCACCAAUGUCUCCACACAUACUUCCACCUUUUGAUCAUAGAUCACCUCCUCCACCUCCUCCUGCUUCAAUAUUACCACUACCCCUUGGAACGUCGCAUUCAUGGGGGGAAGAAUCACUGCCGCCUCCACGCAAUUCUGGCUUCCAUCCAACACAACGAGAACGAGUUCGAAAUCACAAAGGUUUGUGUAUAAGAUGACAAGCAACUGCAAGAAACUGAUUUGAUUGACACCCAUUAAUGGUCGAUUUCAUUUUUCAUUGAAAUGAUUUUCUUGCAUUUUUUUGCCAUUAUUAUUUUCUUUUUUCUUUCUUUUGUUGUGCAUGCAAGGACGCAAGCGAUUCUCUAAAGUGAGACAAUUUUGGAGUACUAUGGAAGGAAAUAAUUGCAAAUAAAGUGCAAUAUAUCAGGUUCCUUACAUUCUUCAGGAGAAUCACUAGACAAGUCACAUCAUAACAGCAAAGUUUGAAACUUCUAUUUUGUUAUAAAAUAAUUCGUAUGUGCGUUCAACUUGUCAUUAGUAAUUGAGAUAUUCAUUAACAAAAAAAUUCAAUAAACAAAUAACAGUGAUGCAGAACAUAUUAAUGCUAAUAGAACGAGCAUUUAUUACUUCAUGAGAAAUAAAAUCAUGCAUUUUGAUAUGGUAUUUAUUGUGAUAAACAUAUAAUUAGUUUAUUAUAAAAAAUAUAUUUGUUAAUCAUCACUGAUAUUUAAAAAAAAAAAGAAGCAAAUUGUAUAUACGUUUAAUUAUUUCUUAGGGAUGUAUUGAAAUAUACAAAUAGACAAAAUUGUAAAAAAAUUUCUUUAUAUAGUUAUAUAUAAUUCUUUAAUCAAAUUGAAAAAAUUAUCGUCUUUGUAAAUCAUUCAAACGGGAAAUAAAUUGUAAUAUGAAUUUAGAUUAAAUAAUUGUUAUAUAAAAUUUUAAAAAAUUGAAAUAAAUUGUAAUUUAUA